rnacentral:misc_RNA from 1 species
GCUUCCUUAUUGGCCAUGGCUUCAUUUAGGAAGUCCUCUAGCAUCACAAGUGCUUUAAUAUAAAGAGUCGGCACCUUCUCAGACUCAGUAACACGCAUGACUUUCUCAAGCUGCUUAUUUAUUUUAUCAAAACUCUCCUGCAGGCUAACCCAGUCAUUGAUCUUCAUUGCAUUUUUCAUCUGAUCCACUGUAGCAGACAUCUCCUCAAAACGCUUAUCUUUAGCCGACCUGACAGUACGCUUCUUAUCCUCAGAAUCUUCGCUGUCACUGGCAUUCCCUUGCAGAUAUCUGCUUCUGUUCGGUUGGGAGCCAGGAUCAACCUGUACGUCGUCAAGCUCUUCACCAUAGUCA